rnacentral:rRNA from 1 species
GCCUAACACAUGCAAGUCGAGCGGAAACGAGUUAUCUGAACCUUCGGGGAACGAUAACGGCGUCGAGCGGCGGACGGGUGAGUAAUGCCUAGGAAAUUGCCUUGAUGUGGGGGAUAACCAUUGGAAACGAUGGCUAAUACCGCAUAAUGCCUACGGGCCAAAGAGGGGGACCUUCGGGCCUCUCGCGUCAAGAUAUGCCUAGGUGGGAUUAGCUAGUUGGUGAGGUAAUGGCUCACCAAGGCGACGAUCCCUAGCUGGUCUGAGAGGAUGAUCAGCCACACUGGAACUGAGACACGGUCCAGACUCCUACGGGAGGCAGCAGUGGGGAAUAUUGCACAAUGGGCGCAAGCCUGAUGCAGCCAUGCCGCGUGUAUGAAGAAGGCCUUCGGGUUGUAAAGUACUUUCAGCAGUGAGGAAGGGGGUGUCGUUAAUAGCGGCAUUUCUUGACGUUAGCUGCAGAAGAAGCACCGGCUAACUCCGUGCCAGCAGCCGCGGUAAUACGGAGGGUGCGAGCGUUAAUCGGAAUUACUGGGCGUAAAGCGCAUGCAGGUGGUUUGUUAAGUCAGAUGUGAAAGCCCGGGGCUCAACCUCGGAACUGCAUUUGAAACUGGCAAACUAGAGUACUGUAGAGGGGGGUAGAAUUUCAGGUGUAGCGGUGAAAUGCGUAGAGAUCUGAAGGAAUACCAGUGGCGAAGGCGGCCCCCUGGACAGAUACUGACACUCAGAUGCGAAAGCGUGGGGAGCAAACAGGAUUAGAUACCCUGGUAGUCCACGCCGUAAACGAUGUCUACUUGGAGGUUGUGGCCUUGAGCCGUGGCUUUCGGAGCUAACGCGUUAAGUAGACCGCCUGGGGAGUACGGUCGCAAGAUUAAAACUCAAAUGAAUUGACGGGGGCCCGCACAAGCGGUGGAGCAUGUGGUUUAAUUCGAUGCAACGCGAAGAAC